rnacentral:rRNA from 1 species
AGAAUCAACGCUGGCGGCGCGCUUAACACAUGCAAGUCGCACGAGAAAGUGGAGCAAUCCACGAGUACAGUGGCGCACGGGUGAGUAACACGUGGGUGAUCUACCUCUUAGUGGGGGAUAUCUCUGGGAAACCGGAGUUAAUACCGCAUAAGUUCGAGAGAAGAAAGCAGGAAUGCGCUGAGAGAGGAGCCCGCGGCCGAUUAGCUAGUUGGUGAGGUAAAGGCUCACCGAAGGCAGAGAUCGGUA